CUCGAGGCCAGAUCUAGAGUUUGAUCCUGGCUGAGGAUGAACGCUAGCGGGAGGCUUAAUACAUGCAAGUCGAGGGAGAAAUCGUUUUUCGGAAUGAUGGAAACCGGCGAACGGGUGAGUAACGCGUACACUACCUACCUUAUACUGGGGAAUAGCCUCUGGAAACGGAGAGUGAUACCCCAUAGUUCAUGCCUUGUGCAUGAUAAAGCUCCGGCGGUAUAAGAUGGGUGUGCGUCUGAUUAGCUAGUUGGUAGGGUAAAGGCCUACCAAGGCGACGAUCAGUAGGGGGCGUGAGAGCGUGAUCCCCCACACGGGUACUGAGACACGGACCCGACUCCUACGGGAGGCAGCAGUAAGGAAUAUUGGACAAUGGGCGAAAGCCUGAUCCAGCCAUCCCGCGUGCAGGAUGAAGGCCCUACGGGUUGUAAACUGCUUUUGUUUGGGAAGAAACGCCUUGAUUUAUCAGGGCCUGACGGUACCAUUCGAAUAAGCACCGGCUAACUCCGUGCCAGCAGCCGCGGUAAUACGGAGGGUGCAAGCGUUAUCCGGAAUCACUGGGUUUAAAGGGUGCGUAGGCGGCGUUAUAAGUCCGAGGUGAAAGCUUGCAGCUUAACUGUAAA
rnacentral:rRNA from 1 species